rnacentral:lncRNA from 1 species
AAAGAGGUGGCAUCGGCGGUUCAAGACUGAGUUUUCUAUCUCUUCAGUGCCUCUUUCAACAAUGAAGAUCAAACCAGGUUUUGUGCAAAUAUCUGCUGAGUGAACUACUUAUUUGAAAAUACAUCAUUGGUUAAUAUUCCCUUUUGCUCAUUGAAAUCUCAAAGACUACAGACCCCGCACAAGACAUUCUGACAUUCCCGUCUUUGAAAUGAAUGACAGCAAUGAUAAAUAUGGCUCACCUCCAGAGAUACAGAUCUCACAACUUCAUAUUUUUAAUAUAAAUUAUUAAUCUGAGGUGUGGUGCAAUUCCAUUAGAUGAAAGAGAUCUACACAUUCAGAAGCACAUGAUUCUUCCCCCUUCCAUGAUUCCAGUGGCCAAUAGGAAUUCUAAUUGGAACAGACAAAAACCCAAUACAUGUUUAAGCAGUAAAGUAUUCAUCAGGUCACAAAAAGAGGAGCAAGAGGAGCUGACUCUUUAUGUCAUAUCUUGGCCUUGUAAUUUGAUUCUUUGCCAACAUGCAUGGUUUUUCUCCAUAGGCUGUGCAUUGGGACAAACUACAAUAAAGCCAUGCCCUGACUGGAUGUGCCUAACAUUUGUCUGGUGCUUAAAGGAGUUGGCUGCAUGCGUGGGAUGGAGAAGGAUUCAACAUUUAAUGGCAGUUAGAAUCAAAUUUUUAACUCAAGAAGGCAGAAGGAAUCCACCUAAAUAAAUGUUGGAAAGUCACCAAAAAUAGUUCUCCAAGUCAGAAGCGGUGCAAAAGCUGCCUCAGCUCUUGGUGGAUUUUCAAUUUCUCCCAGCCAUCUCUGUUUCGCUAAAGGUUUCUGAAGACAGUGGGUAUGUGGCAAACUUCUGCAAUUCUAUAUUAAGAUAAACUGUUAGA